GCUACACAUGCAGUCGAGCGGCAGCGGGAAAGUAGCUUGCUACUUUUGCCGGCGAGCGGCGGACGGGUGAGUAAUGCCUGGGGAUCUGCCCAGUCGAGGGGGAUAACAGUUGGAAACGACUGCUAAUACCGCAUACGCCCUACGGGGGAAAGGAGGGGACCUUCGGGCCUUUCGCGAUUGGAUGAACCCAGGUGGGAUUAGCUAGUUGGUGGGGUAAUGGCUCACCAAGGCGACGAUCCCUAGCUGGUCUGAGAGGAUGAUCAGCCACACUGGAACUGAGACACGGUCCAGACUCCUACGGGAGGCAGCAGUGGGGAAUAUUGCACAAUGGGGGAAACCCUGAUGCAGCCAUGCCGCGUGUGUGAAGAAGGCCUUCGGGUUGUAAAGCACUUUCAGCGAGGAGGAAAGGUUGGCAGCUAAUAUCUGUCAGCUGUGACGUUACUCGCAGAAGAAGCACCGGCUAACUCCGUGCCAG
rnacentral:rRNA from 1 species